CAAACCAUAAGUUGUUAUGACGCCACACUUGGCAAACAUGAAGGGGAGUAUGAUGCCCAUCAGGAACAAGCUUUUCAGAAAAUGGAUACUCUGUUUAAGGUUGCUCUCUUGAGUGUUCUUGGUGAGAACAUAGUUGAUGCUUAUGCGUCAAUUGACAAUGGAAAAGAUAUGUGGAACGCACUCGAGGCCAAGUUUGGGGUCUCGGAUGCUGGCACUGAGUUGUGCAUCAUGGAGCAAUUCUAUGAUUACAGGAUGACUGAAGAGCGCUCCGUGGUUGAGCAAGCUCAUGAGAUACAGUCAUUUGCUAGAGAACUUGAGCAUUCAAUUGUAUGCUACCAGACAAGUUUGUUGCUGGAGGUAUCAUCACUAAGCUUCCUCCUUCGUGGAGGAACUUUGCUACCUUACUGA
rnacentral:rRNA from 1 species